GGAAAACCCUUUUUUCUGAAAAUUUAUCGGGUCUUCCUUUUGAGCGACGCAAUUAUUUUUCGCCCGAGCGUCAUUUUGUUCUGCGAUUUGUCUGAUGUUUUAUCAAAUCUGGGUGUGAAAUUACGAGCUUAUCGUGAGCUGUACGAUUAUUUAAAGCUAAUUGCGGACAAGCUAGCUGUGGACAUUACUUGGCGUUUAACUGCGGAGAGUCCCAUCAUCCAACGAUUCUCAACAUAUUUCAUUGUAAAAGAAAUGGUUAUUAGUAAAUUUCUUAUGUGAACGGAGCUGGACCUAAUUAACAUUGUUCAGAUAAAUUUCCUACAAUCCUUCAUGACCGUUUAUACAAGCGGACAAAGCCCUUAUACAAAAAACGAGGAAGAACGCUAUAGUCGAGUACCUCGACUAUCGGAUACCCGUUACUCAGCUUAUGGGACCAAAGGGAAAUGGAGAUAUGCAAGCAGCAAAGCGAGAU